AUCAAUAAACUGCAAUCUUUAAGUUUGGAUUCCAAUAUUGUUGAAUGGGUAAGGCAGUGGCUGAGUGGCAGGCAACAGAGGGUUGUAGUUAAUGGAAUAUAUUCGAAGCUUGGACUUGUCACCAGUGGGGUACCUCAGGGAUCUGUACUUGGACCCAUUCUCUUUAAUAUUUUUAUUAGUGAUAUUGCAGAAGGUCUUGAUGGUAAGG